AUGUGGACCUGUCUUCGUCAGCGCUAUGAGCCCUCUGGUGAUGCCUUAUACCUUUCUGUGGUUCGUCAGGAGCAUGCUCUUCAGCAGGGUGACUCUACUGUUGAUGACUUUUAUGCACAGAGUUCUGCUAUCUGGCGCCAGCUUGAUUCUCUCCGUAGUGCUGGUUGUCGUACUUGCCCCUGCUGCCAGGCUGUCCAGGCCGAUUUGGAGUUUCAUCGCGUCUACGAGUUCCUCUCGGCUCCGUAA
rnacentral:rRNA from 1 species